rnacentral:rRNA from 1 species
AUUGAACGCUGGCGGCAUGCUUUACACAUGCAAGUCGAACGGCAGCGCGGGCUUCGGCCUGGCGGCGAGUGGCGAACGGGUGAGUAAUACAUCGGAACGUGCCCAGUAGUGGGGGAUAGCUCGGCGAAAGCCGGAUUAAUACCGCAUACGACCUGAGGGUGAAAGCGGGGGAUCUUCGGACCUCGCGCUAUUGGAGCGGCCGAUGGCAGAUUAGCUAGUUGGUGGGGUAAAGGCCUACCAAGGCGACGAUCUGUAGCUGGUCUGAGAGGACGACCAGCCACACUGGGACUGAGACACGGCCCAGACUCCUACGGGAGGCAGCAGUGGGGAAUUUUGGACAAUGGGCGAAAGCCUGAUCCAGCAAUGCCGCGUGUGUGAUGAAGGCCUUCGGGUUGUAAAGCACUUUUGGCGGGAACGAAAAGAACUGUGCCAAUACCACGGUUCGAUGACGGUACCCGCAGAAUAAGCACCGGCUAACUACGUG